ensembl:lncRNA
CUAUUAUGACCACUCUAUGCAAAGAUGAGACUCUCACGAACACGAUGGUGUUAUCAAUUGGAUUGCUAAUAUACUUGACCAAUUUACAGUACACUUGAUGUUGCAUUGUGUUGUUGUUUAAGAAAAUAUUCAAUUAAUUGUUGUUGAAUAUGGUUUGUUUACUAUAAUUUCACACAGGUUUGCGAUAAGAUAUGCUUUCCAAUAAAUGUGCUGAAGUGUGCACUAUUGCAGACAGUGUAAUCAGCCAUGCUCUGCUAUUAUGAUGACUAUACUAUAUCUGACCACUGUCAUUUACCAAAGCUCAUGACUAGACAGCCCUAUUCUCAUUCACUAAGUGAUGUCACAGCAGGUCAAUGUUGGUUGGCUGAAAUCUCAUCUGACACGGUUUAAAAGCAGAGAUAGAUCUCUGCACUCCAUAUUCCUCAUCUAUACUGGUAUCACCAAAGGUUCUCCUUUGAAAAUGAAGAUCACCAUUAUGUGCCUUUGUUUGGCCAGCUCAAUAUCUGCUGCUCCAGUAAGUUUGAAAAAAUGGGCAAGGAAAACUUUACUACUAUAUUUCUUAAGAGUAGGAAUUUGAAAACGCAUAGAAAGUGGAUACGCAAGGGUGCGCGUCACAAUGGAAAAAAUGUAAACACAACUGGAGACUCCCUCGUCGUUUUUGGAGACAGGUUAUUGACAUGGCAUCGCUACGGUAUCAAGUUUAUAAGCAAUUGUUAACUACCUGUUAACACUUUGAACUGGCUAGCUAAUCAUCUUGACUAACUGUGGGGCAAAACAAUUCACUUAGCCUAUCACCUUUUGAUAUUCUAUGACGUCUUCACUUUCCAAGCGUAUCAUGAUCUAUUUCCAGAAUCUAGACUUAAAAUAACUUAGUUGGGUGUUAAGAGUCCAGAGCACAUUAUUCACAUCUCAUUUUCCACUGAGUGUCUGUCAACAGUCUGUUAUUUCUUUAAAUUGACUAUAGCUUCGUCAAAAUUGUGAUUAUUUAGUAUUUGUUCAAUAUUCACAGCGUCAACCUUACUUCAAUUACUUGCCCCACUAUGGGGAUCCAAGGCAAUCAGGACCACCCACACAAGUAAGAACACAUGCAUAUUGUAAUAUUCUACUGCAUUCUGUUGGUCACCUUCAUCAUUUGCCUAUUUAAUUCAGACUGUGAUGAGUAAUCAUCUUGAACUUUAGCAGUUACACUGGAGUUUUGUCUUAAUUACAUAGUAUAGUAAUUUUAUUUAUUUGUAAUGUGUAACUGUUUUGUUCAUUUUACUUUAUAUUACAGGUGUUUCCACAGAGAUUCCCUGGAUGGUCUACUGGUGGCCAGAUCAAUGGACCAGUAAAUACCACUAAAAUACCACUACUUCACCUUCUUUAAUAUAUCAACCAAAAAAUAUAUCAACCAUCCUCCACAUUGAACAUUCCUUUUAACUUUCCCCUUUCUUUUCUUUCAGCAGUCCUAUCCCUCUCAAGCCUUCAUCAAAUAUUCCCUACCUAAGGCCCCAGGAAGAAAGAGUGUAGAAAUUGUAAGUGUUGUCUCAAGUUGAGUUACUUAUCCCUCCUCAGAAUUAUAGGUGUUGUAGUAUGUGAAGAAAUCUCUCUCUUCAAUUACAGCUAUAUGAAAUUUGAUAGGCACUAUUUAAGUUCAGUUGACUCAUGACUUUAAGUGGCUAAAGUUAGGACAUGGUACAUUCCAAGUUGCACAGCAGGAAAUGAGUGUUGUUAUACUGUAUGUGUUUUGUAAGAGAACCCAUCCAUUUAAUAUCUUACUCAAGCACAGAUCACAUUGAAUGUAUUUUAUCUAUACUGCAGUAGUUUAAUGACUGUUUCUCUGUUUCUUUUCUCCCAUAUUAAAGUACUACCCCUAUGACUUUGUGCAGCAAAAGGUAAAUCCUGAUAUCAUUUACUUGUUUACAACCAAUCAUUUUAUUUCAGUGGGACCUGGAUCAGAGUAGGUGAGCAGAAUGGAACCAUUUGAAAUCCAGGGCAUAGCUCAUGGAGCUGUGCUCUCGCACAACUCCUGCUCUCCACUUCCUUUCCAACACUCUCUCUGCUAAAAUCCGCUCUGCACUCACAAGAAUUUUAACAAAAACGCAUGCAUUUUUGUGACUACCUGGACCUACCAUUUGUAUUGAAACACAAUCAAAUGAUUUUAAUAAAAAUUAUUUGAAUUAACAUGAAAAGGUGAAUGUAAGAAGGGCACAUCAUUUAAAAUAGGCCACAUGUCAUAUUAAACAGCAUAUAAACACUGUAAAUAGGUCAAAAGCCAGAAACACAAGUUUGGCCAGUCUGUGGCUUCAGGCUCAUGCAAUGGUGCACGGAGAGCAGGCCAGUAGCAGAGAAUAUCCUCUCCAAACUUGCACACUUUUUCUUUAGGUCGUUCUAAAGGUUUUUAGGAAAAAUAACCCAAUCAAAAUGAAAAGCUCCUUGAAUGCC